rnacentral:rRNA from 1 species
UACAGAGGGUGCGAGCGUUAAUCGGAAUUACUGGGCGUAAAGCGUGCGUAGACGGCUAUCUAAGUCGGGUGUGAAAGCCCCGGGCUCAACCUGGGAAUUGCAUUCGAGACUGAAUAGCUAGGGUACGGUAGAGGGAAGCGGAAUUUCCGGUGUAGCGGUGAAAUGCGUAGAUAUCGGAAGGAACAUCAGUGGCGAAAGCGACUUCCUGGACCAAUACUGACGCUCAGGUGCGAAAGCGUGGGGAGCAAACAGG